rnacentral:miRNA from 1 species
UAGAUCAUGUGGUAGCUUCAUC